rnacentral:rRNA from 1 species
GAUGAACGCUGGCGGCGUGCCUAAUACAUGCAAGUCGAGCGAACGGACGAGAAGCUUGCUUCUCUGAUGUUAGCGGCGGACGGGUGAGUAACACGUGGAUAACCUACCUAUAAGACUGGGAUAACUUCGGGAAACCGGAGCUAAUACCGGAUAAUAUUUUGAACCGCAUGGUUCAAAAGUGAAAGACGGUCUUGCUGUCACUUAUAGAUGGAUCCGCGCUGCAUUAGCUAGUUGGUAAGGUAACGGCUUACCAAGGCAACGAUGCAUAGCCGACCUGAGAGGGUGAUCGGCCACACUGGAACUGAGACACGGCCCAGACUCCUACGGGAGGCAGCAGUAGGGAAUCUUCCGCAAUGGACGAAAGCCUGACGGAGCAACGCCGCGUGAGUGAUGAAGGUCUUCGGAUCGUAAAACUCUGUUAUUAGGGAAGAACAUAUGUGUAAGUAACUGUGCACAUCUUGACGGUACCUAAUCAGAAAGCCACGGCUAACUACGUG